UACAGAGGUCUCAAGCGUUGUUCGGAUUCAUUGGGCGUAAAGGGUGCGUAGGCGGUGUGGUAAGUCGAAUGUGAAAUCUCGGAGCUUAACUCCGAAACUGCAUUCGAUACUGCCGUGCUUGAGGACUGGAGAGGAGACUGGAAUUUACGGUGUAGCGGUGAAAUGCGUAGAUAUCGUAUGGAAGACCAGUGGCGAAGGCGGGUCUCUGGACAGUUCCUGACGCUGAGGCACGAAGGCCAGGGGAGCAAACGGG
rnacentral:rRNA from 1 species